GGACUACCGGGGUAUCUAAUCCUGUUUGAUCCCCACGCUUUCGUGCAUCAGCGUCAAUAACAGCCUGGUAAGCUGCCUUCGCGAUCGGUGUUCUAUGUAAUAUCUACGCAUUUCACCGCUACAUUACAUAUUCCGCCUACCCCGUCUGUAUUCCAGUCUAUCAGUAUCAACGGCACUGUCUCGGUUGAGCCGAGAAAUUUCACCGCUGACUUAAUAGACCGCCUACGCACCCUUUAAACCCAAUGAAUCCGGAUAACGCUCGCAUCCUCCGUAUUACCGCGGCGGCUGGCAC
rnacentral:rRNA from 1 species